AAGUUGGGGCCAGCGGCCUAGAGUCCCAGGCCCUUUCAGUCCAGGCAGUGGCUGCAGCCUCCUGUAAGCAGGGGUGCAGCCUCUUUGGCCGCUGCUUUGCAAGCCCAGCUUCAUUUGCCCAGGGGGCCUCGUUGCCAGCAGUGGAAGGGCCUGCAGCGUCCGACGCUCAGAAGCCAUCGAGGAAGAAAGAAGAGACGUCGUGAGGCAAGACUGAAGAGGAGGAUCAGCGGCGUCGAGGUCAAGAGUGGAGCGGCGAGGUCAAGAGUGAAGAAGAAGAUCAGCGGCGUCGAGGUCAAGAGUGGAGCGGCGAGGUCAAGAGUGAAGAAGAGGAUCAGCGGCGUCGAGGUCAAGAGGUGGCACGUGAGGCCCUCUGGGCAAAUGACAUCCCUGGCAUUUCCAGGGCACAAAUUCCCCCCCAGUCUGGUGGGCGCCUUCAGGGUGCCCCGAGUCCUUUAGUGCUGGGCGACCUCCCUGUAAGCAGGGCUGGGUCUUUGCUUUGGUGCCUUUGGUGCCUUUUGCUGUUCUGCUGCUUUGGCUGCCUGGAGAGAGGGGCGCCCCUGUAAGGAGGGUGAGAGGCCUGGUCUCUGCAGCCAAGGGGGAAAUGGAGCACCCCCAGGCCACCCUGUAAGCAGGGCAGCGCCUUUUCCCCUUGUCAAUUGGUUUAUUCCCCUGGCCAGCGUGACCCCCUGUACCCAGGGUGUGUCAUGCACAGUCUUCUGUCCCCUGGCCACCCCUCAACAUGUUUAGGCCCUUAUAGAGGGCAACCGUGCAGCGCCCCCGGGGCAGGGCUGAAGCUCUCGUCUCCUGCUCAGCAGCAGGCAGGGCACCCACACAGAGCUCGCUCCCACUCCUGGCACCUUGUCCCUGUGUGUCUUCCUUUGUCUAGUCGGUAUGAGUGAGGCAGUGUGUGUGUCCCCCGUAGGCAUAGAGCAGGUUAGCUUAGGCUUCCCAGCAGGGGGAGAGGAGCUCUGUGACUCAGCCAGGGGUGCCCUGUCCAGCUGCAGGAAGAGACAGGGCCCGGCCUGGCCCCUUGCUCCUGAGGACAGAGCCAAGCCCCUUAAUGGCAGCGUGGGCACCGGGACCCGCCUGUAGCCAGGGCCUGGGUGCGAGCCUGUGCUGCCGGGCUGCCUGUCCUUGCAGCUGACCUGCCAGCGUGCCUGGCCUGCCCUCAGAGCAGGCAGCAGCUGCAGCCUCCUGUAAGCAGGGGUGCAGCUUCUUUGGCCGCUGCUUUGCAAGCCCAGCUUCAUUUGCCCAGGGGGCCUCGUUGCCACCAGUGGAAGGGCCUGCAGCGUCCGACGCUCAGGUGAGACAGCCUGUGCUUGGAGAGUUCUCUGGCAUGGGGAUAGUUGGCACAGAGGAGUUACAAGUGGAAUUCUGCACCGUGUCUUUUUUCUCUACAUUUCCCUUCCCUUUAGCGUUUUUGGCUAUCUUGAGAAAGGUUUUGUUGGUUUUGUCUCUCAGUUUGUUUUUUGGUUUUUAGAGCAGUUUUAUUGGGUUGAAAUCCUCUUUAUUUAGCAUUCACGAAAUCCUUUUCUCUCCAGGAGCAGCAGCUCUGUUUUUUCUGCUCCUCCAUCUUUUUUUCCAUCAAUAAAGUUCUUUUUCAGUG